AGCGAACGCUGGCGGCAGGCCUAAUACAUGCAAGUCGAGCGCACCUUCGGGUGAGCGGCGGACGGGUGAGUAACGCGUGGGAACGUGCCCUUUGGUACGGAACAACUGAGGGAAACUUCAGCUAAUACCGUAUGUGCCCUUCGGGGGGAAGAUUUAUCGCCAUUGGAGCGGCCCGCGUUGGAUUAGGUAGUUGGUGAGGUAAAGGCUCACCAAGCCUACGAUCCAUAGCUGGUCUGAGAGGAUGAUCAGCCACACUGGGACUGAGACACGGCCCAGACUCCUACGGGAGGCAGCAGUAGGGAAUCUUGCGCAAUGGGCGAAAGCCUGACGCAGCCAUGCCGCGUGAAUGAUGAAGUCUUAGGA
rnacentral:rRNA from 1 species